rnacentral:rRNA from 1 species
GAUGAACGCUGGCGGCGUGCCUAAUACAUGCAAGUCGAGCGAAGAGGGGACGGGGGAGUAACACGUGGAUAACCUCCUAUAAGACUGGGAAAACUUCGGGAAACCGGAGCUAAACCGGAAACUGAUAGAUGGAUCCGCGAUGCAUUAGCUAGUUGGUCAGGUAACGGCGUACCAAGGCAACGAUGCAUAGCGGACCUGAGAGGAUGAUCAGCCACACUGGAACUGAGACACGGUCCAGACUCCUACGGGAGGCAGCAGUAGGGAAUCUUCCGCAAUGGGCGAAAUCCUUACGGAGCCACGCCGCGUGAGUGAUGAAGGUCUUCGGAUCGUAAAGUUCUGUUAUUAGGGAAGCGGUACCUAAUCAGAAAGCCACGGCUAACUCCGUGCCAGCAGCCGCGGUAAUUC